rnacentral:rRNA from 1 species
CCUACGGGUGGCAGCAGUAGGGAAUCUUUGUCAAUGGGCGCAAGCCUGAACGAGCAAUGCCGCGUGAACGAGGAAGGUCCUCGGAUCGUAAAGCUCUGUUGAAGGGGAAAAAGAGCGGAGAGAGGAAAUGCUUUCUGAUUGAUAUUACCCUUCGAGGAAGACACGGCUAACUACGUGCCAGCAGCCGCGGUAAUACGUAGGUGGCGAGCGUUAUCCGGAUUGACUGGGCGUAAAGGGUGCGUAGGCGGCCUGCUAAGUCUGGAGUGAAAGGUACCGGCUCAACCGGGACAGGCUCUGGAAACUGGCGGGCUAGAGAGCAGGAGAGGGCGGUGGAACUCCAGGUGUAGCGGUGAAAUGCGUAGAUAUAUGGAAGAACACCAGUGGCGAAGGCGGGCGCCUGGCCUGUUACUGACGCUGAGGCACGAAGGCGUGGGGAGCAAAUAGGAUUAGAUACCCUAGUAGUC